rnacentral:snoRNA from 1 species
CCGGCGCUUGUGAUGAUUUACAAAAAUAAGCAUAGUUCAUCUGAGCUUUCAUGAAGACAACCUUGUAGUUUCUAGUCUUUCGCUCCCAUCUGAUGCGCACU